rnacentral:tRNA from 4 species
GCGGGAGUAGCUCAGCUAGUUAGAGCGCCGCCCUGUCACGGCGGAGGUCGCGGGUGCGAAUCCCGUCUCUCGCGCAA